AGGUUGGUUAUUUCCUGGGCUACAUACC
rnacentral:piRNA from 1 species